rnacentral:tRNA from 1 species
AAGGAAGUGGCAGAGUGGUGAUGUGGUCGGCUUGAAACCGGCUAAAGGGGGUUCGAUUCCUCCCUUCCUCG